UUUUGAAGCGUUUGUAUUUUUGUAACUAGAUCAGAGAGGGGGAUUUUCAAACCUCCCAGAGAUGAAUAGGUUCAUCAUAAAACAAGCUAUCUUCCAAUUAUUGGCAUCAUCAUUAUGGAGCUCAGGUUUUACUACUGGGAGUGAUGUCACCCAGACCCCCUUUUUGUGGAAAAAUAUGGGUGAAAAUGCAACAAUAGACUGUAGCCACACCAAGGGUGACUUAUACUUCCAGAUGUACUGGUACAGACAGCUGCCGGGAGAAACUAUGAAACUCAUCGUUUUCACCACCAAAGGCCAGAUCAAGCAUGAUUUUGGAAGCUUUAGUGAAGAGAAAUUUUCAGCCACCAAAACUGUUGCUGAGAGUGGAACGUUUACAGUGAAGAACCUGGAGCCCCAAGAUGAAGGAGUGUAUUUCUGUGCUGUGAGUCACCACAGUGAUCGAGAGAGACAGGAAAGCUUUACACAAACCCACCAAUGUGAUAUCAACAUAGGUUGA